AUGUGAAAUCCCCGAGCUUAACUUGGGAAUUGCAUUCGAUACUGGUUGGCUAGAGUGUGGGAGAGGAUGGUAGAAUUCCAGGUGUAGCGGUGAAAUGCGUAGAGAUCUGGAGGAAUACCGAUGGCGAAGGCAGCCAUCUGGCCUAACACUGACGCUGAGGUGCGAAAGCAUGGGGAGCAAACAGGAUUAGAUACCCUGGUAGUCCAUGCCGUAAACGAUGUCUACUAGCCGUUGGGGCCUUUGAGGCUUUAGUGGCGCAGCUAACGCGAUAAGUAGACCGCCUGGGGAGUACGGUCGCAAGACUAAAACUCAAAUGAAUUGACGGGGGCCCGCACAAGCGGUGGAGCAUGUGGUUUAAUUCGAUGCAACGCGAAGAACCUUACCUGGCCUUGACAUAGUAGAAACUUUCCAGAGAUGGAUUGGUGCCUUCGGGAAUCUUCAUACAGGUGCUGCAUGGCUGUCGUCAGC
rnacentral:rRNA from 1 species